rnacentral:rRNA from 1 species
UUAGAGUUUGAUCCUGGCUCAGGACGAACGCUGGCGGCGUGCCUAAUACAUGCAAGUCGAACGCGUCCCGGUUGAUGAAGUUGAGUGCUUGCACUUGAUUGAUUCAACUUGGUGACGAGUGGCGAACUGGUGAGUAACACGUGGGUAACCUGCCCCGAAGCGGGGGAUAACAUUUGGAAACAGGUGCUAAUACCGCAUAACAACCAAAAUCACCUGGUUUUGGCUUGAAAGACGGCUUCGGCUGUCACUUUGGGAUGGACCCGCGGCGUAUUAGCUAGUUGGUGAGGUAACGGCUCACCAAGACAAUGAUACGUAGCCGACCUGAGAGGGUAAUCGGCCACAUUGGGACUGAGACACGGCCCAAACUCCUACGGGAGGCAGCAGUAGGGAAUCUUCCACAAUGGACGCAAGUCUGAUGGAGCAACGCCGCGUGAGUGAUGAAGGGUUUCGGCUCGUAAAACUCUGUUGUUGGAGAGGAACGGGUGUCAGAGUAACUGUUGACAUCGUGACGGUAUCCAACCAGAAAGCCACGGCUAACUACGUGCCAGCAGCCGCGGUAAUACGUAGGUGGCAAGCGUUGUCCGGAUUUAUUGGGCGUAAAGCGAGCGCAGGCGGUUUUUUAGGUCUGAUGUGAAAGCCUUCGGCUUAACCGGAGAAGUGCAUCGGAAACCGGGAGACUUGAGUGCAGAAGAGGACAGUGGAACUCCAUGUGUAGCGGUGAAAUGCGUAGAUAUAUGGAAGAACACCAGUGGCGAAGGCGGCUGUCUGGUCUGCAACUGACGCUGAGGCU